UACGGAGGGUGCAAGCGUUGUCCGGAAUCACUGGGCGUAAAGGGCGCGUAGGCGGCUCAUGAAGGCUGUGGUGAAAGUCCGGGGCUCAACCUCGGAUCGGCCGUGGCGACUCGUGGGCUGGAGCACUGUAGAGGCGGGUGGAAUUCCGGGUGUAGCGGUGGAAUGCGUAGAUAUCUGGAGGAACACCGGUGGCGAAGGCGGCAUCCUGGACCGGCAUUGACGCUGAGGCGCGAAAGCGUGGGGAGCGAACAGG
rnacentral:rRNA from 1 species